rnacentral:tRNA from 1 species
GGAUUGUGGCUCAGUGAUAGGGUGCUUGCCUAGUACAUGUGAGGCACUGAGUUCGAUCCUCAGCACCA